CGUAGGUAACCUGCCUGGUAGCGGGGGGUAACUAUUGGAAACGAUAGCUAAUACCGCAUAAUAUUGACUAUUGCAUGAUAGUCAAUUGAAAGGUGCAAAUGCACCACUACCAGAUGGACCUGCGUUGUAUUAGCUAGUUGGUGGGGUAACGGCUCACCAAGGCGACGAUACAUAGCCGACCUGAGAGGGUGAUCGGCCACACUGGGACUGAGACACGGCCCAG
rnacentral:rRNA from 1 species